rnacentral:sRNA from 1 species
AAGAAGAGAGGAGAGAGAGGGGGAGAAGCCAUGGCUCUAAGUACCAAGAGAGACUUAACAAUAACCCACAGGCCAUAUCCCUCAUGUCCGUGCUGUACCUGGCAAAGAGAAGAGACCAAAGAGUGAACUAGUAAAUGAUGGUUUCCUCCAGUCCUGUUGUGACUUCCCGAGCGUUAGCAUGUCUUGGGAUAAAAGAGGAGCACACUCCCUCUUCAGUCUAUUCCUCCAGGAAUUCUCAAGGCCAUCUCUGGAGAGACGGAUGUCACACAUUUGCUGCACCAAAGGUCUCUAUGUCUUAGAUAGGAAAGUGGCUGGGUUGGGCUGUCUGCUGCAUGGCCCCUCUGAAGCUCCCCGGGCUCUUCAUGUGUUCUGUGGUCAAUGGGAACCAUACUGCCAUGGUGGCUGCAAAGUUAGAUGGGAAGACGUAUGCAAAACAAGAGAAACCGUAAUAAAAAAACAGUGGAAGGCUUCA